UUUGGUUUGAAUUUCAUACAUGCUGAUUGAUGGCAGGUAGCCAUUUGUGAGUGGAGGAAGAUCUGUUGUAGGGUUAUGACUGCUUCAAUUAAUUGAGUACAGAGAGGUGAUGCUGUAUGACUUCCAAGCCUAAGUCAUCUCAGGCCAUCAGCUUCUGCCUUUGUUAAUGGAACACUUGCCUUUGGAGUCCUGAGCCUCCAGGUAAAAAGUUCAACUAUCCCAAGGCUACCAUGCUGUGAGGAAGCCCAAACUACACAGAGGGGCCAUGUGAAGGCACUCUGGUUGACAGUCCCCACUGAGAUGUCUCAGUCCAGGCACCAGGCAUGUGAGGGAAGAAGCCCCCAGGUGAUUUCAGCCCUCAGCCUUUCCAGCCACCUCUAGCCAUUUGAGUCUUCACAACCCUGGCCCUAGACAUUGGAGAGCAGAGACAGGCCACCCUGUUGGGCCCUGGCCAAAUUCUUAAACCUCUGAAUCUGUGAGCCUAAUAAAAUGGUUGUUGUUUUAUGUCACCAACUUUGGGGUGGCUUGUUACACAGCCACAGAUAGCUGUGCCAUCUUAACCUGCUGGAUUGGUACCCCUUAAGUCUCUGAUAUCCAUGCUUCUGCCCGGCCACUAAUGAAGCCACAUCUGUUCCCACCAGAAGACCACUGAGAAGGCCAGUGAGUGUGUGGUGGGGACCCUUGUUUGAAGGAAGUUGGGUGAAGGAAGUUGCUGACAUGCAUGACUGCUAACAAAAGAAUAUACAUCUGCGGAGGUUGUUCUGGAAGUAUCUUAGGGAAGUAAAGGAAAGGAAUUAAGACUCAUCGACAACAGACUCCAUUCCUUGCCCUGCCCAUCCUUAUUCAUUUAUUCAACAAGGGGUCUAUGAGCAACUACGAGGUGCCAGGCCCUGUGUUAAGAUUCUGGGACAUGGACACAGGCCUGGCCCUAGUGGUUCUCCUAGUCCAGCUAGAGACAAACAUUAAACGAUGAUUAAUAUACAUACUUUGAAUGAAAAACUUAGGGUGUUCUGAGAGUGCGUGGAGACCUAUUUAAUCCUCAUAAUAUCCUUCUGAGGUAGGCACCAUCCUUUCUAUUUUGCAGGGGAAUACUAAGGCUCAGAGGGGUUAAGAGACCUUCCCAAGGUCACCCAGCAGGGGAGACACCAGAUUGCAAAGAAGCAGCCCCCACCCACCUAGUGAGGCCAGGAAAGCAGAGGCAUAAAUGUCCAGCUGAGCAUGAGACUCCUUGGGCCAACAGGAGCACGGUGGGGUCAGCACCCUCAGACAGGCAACCUCUGAGGGAGCAGCAUUAACCCCUGGGAAGCCAGGGUAGCUUGUUAAUCCAGCAAACCUGCACUUCUCAAGAAAAAAUGGCCCUCUGUUGGGAAGGAAUGAUUGAGCUCUAAUCAUCUAGCAGUCCCUGGGCAGCCACACUCACCAUCUCUAUAAUGAGGGCAGAAAUAGAAGGCAAGAGGUAUGGUAACCAUCCAGAGGCAGUGACUGGGACUCCUAAACCCCUCCUUGAUUCUGAGUCCCCAGGGGCCAGUGGAGGGGCAUUGGGAGGUGAGACAAGACAUGCAGACAACCCGCCUCCAAGAGAUGUCAUAGAGAAGUGGGCUUCAGACCUUGGGGUGUGGAAGCACCUGGAGAAUAGGUGAAAACGCUGAUGCUUGGCCCCACCCUGAGGGAUUUGGGUUCAUUUGGUCUGGGGCGAAGCCCGGGC
rnacentral:lncRNA from 1 species